rnacentral:rRNA from 1 species
AAACAUCGCCUCUUGUCAUAAUAUAAGAGGUCCCGCCUGCCCUGUGACACAAUGUUUAACGGCCGCGGUAUUCUGACCGUGUGAAGGUAGCGUAAUCACUUGUUUUUUAAAUGAAGACCCGUAUGAAUGGCAUAACGAGGGCUUAACUGUCUCGUUCUUUUAGUCAAUGAAAUUGAUUUCCUCGUGCAGAAGCGAGAAUAAGCACAUAAGACGAAAAGACCCUGUGGAGCUUUAGGCCCUAUCUACGCCUUCGGUUGGGGUGACCGCGGAGAAAACCUCCAAGACAUCUAGAGCCACACCUCAAAGCUUUAGAAACCUCUAAUCUUUUGAUCCGGUUCGCCGAUUAAUGAAACAAGUUACCCCAGGGAUAACAGCGCAAUCCCCUUUUAGAGUCCCUAUCGCCAAGGGGGUUUACGACCUCGAUGUUGGAUCAGGACAUCCUAAUGGCGCAGCAGUUAUUAAGGGUUCGUUUGUUCAACGAUUAAAGUCCUACGU